rnacentral:lncRNA from 1 species
CUCAGCGCGAUGGACCCCGACAAAGGUGGGACCCCCCCCCAAAAAAACCCACCCGCCUUCUCCCACCCCACGUGCCCCACAUCGGCCCUAUGUGCCCCACAUCAGCUCUGUGUGCCCCAUAUCAGCCCUAUGUGCCCCAUAUUGGCCCUAUGUGCCCCAUAUCACCCUAUACACCCCACAUCACCCUGUGUGCCCCACAUCAUCCUAUGAGCCCCACAUCAGCCCUAUAUGCCCCAUAUCACCCUAUAUACCCCAUAUUACUCUAUGUGCCCCAUAUUACUCUAUGUGCCCCACAUCACCCUGUGCCCCACAUCAGCCCUAUAUGCCUCACAUCGGCCCUAUUUGCCCCAUAUCACCCUAUGUGCCCCACAUCACCCUAUGUGCCCCAUAUCACCCUAUGUGCCCCACAUCACCCUAUAAGCCCCACAUCAGCCCUAUGUGCCCCACAUCACCCUAUAUACCCCAUAUUAACCCCCUGUGCCCCACAUCCGCCCCAUUUCUGCCCCCUUUUACCCCAUUCCCGGCCAUCGGCCGCCCU